rnacentral:rRNA from 1 species
UACGUAGGUGGCAAGCGUUAUCCGGAUUUAUUGGGUUUAAAGGGUCCGUAGGCGGAUCUGUAAGUCAGUGGUGAAAUCUCACAGCUUAACUGUGAAACUGCCAUUGAUACUGCAGGUCUUGAGUGUUAUUGAAGUAGCUGGAAUAAGUAGUGUAGCGGUGAAAUGCAUAGAUAUUACUUAGAACACCAAUUGCGAAGGCAGGUUACUAAGCAACAACUGACGCUGAUGGACGAAAGCGUGGGGAGCGAACAGG